UGGGGAAUUUUGGACAAUGGGCGCAAGCCUGAUCCAGCCAUGCCGCGUGCGGGAAGAAGGCCUUCGGGUUGUAAACCGCUUUUGUCAGGGAAGAAAUCUUCUGAGUUAAUACCUCGGGAGGAUGACGGUACCUGAAGAAUAAGCACCGGCUAACUACGUGCCAGCAGCCGCGGUAAUACGUAGGGUGCAAGCGUUAAUCGGAAUUACUGGGCGUAAAGCGUGCGCAGGCGGUUUUGUAAGACAGAGGUGAAAUCCCCGGGCUCAACCUGGGAACUGCCUUUGUGACUGCAAGGCUUGAGUGCGGCAGAGGGGGGAUGGAAUUCCGCGUGUAGCAGUGAAAUGCGUAGAUAUGCGGAGGAACACCGAUGGCGAAGGCAAUCCCCUGGGCCUGCACUGACGCUCAUGCACGAAAGCGUGGGGAGCAAACAGGAUUAGAUAGCCCUGGCAAGUCCACGCCCUAAAACCGAUGUCAACUGGUUGUUGGGAAGGUUCCUUCUCAGUAACGUAGCUAACGCGUGAAGUUG
rnacentral:rRNA from 1 species